UAUAUGUGUCAUACGAGACUGCCGGUAAAAGCCGGAGGAAGGUGAGGAUGAUGUCAAGUCAGCAUGACCUUUAUAUCCAGGGCUACACACACGCUACAAUGGUCUGUACAAUGGGUAGCCAAGCCGCGAGGCGGAGCCAAUCCUGAAAGCAGGCCUCAGUUCAGAUUGCAGUCUGCAACUCGACUGCAUGAAGCCGGAGUUGCUAGUAACCGCAGGUCAGCAAUACUGCGGUGAAUACGUUCCCGGGUCUU
rnacentral:rRNA from 1 species